AUCACCAAGGCAUCUUGGUAGAAAGCAGAUUCUGAUUCCGGGACCAAGAUUCUGCAUUUUUAGCAAGUUCUUGAGUGCUGCCGC
rnacentral:pre_miRNA from 1 species